GGUUUUCCUGCAAUAGUUAGCCCCUUUGCAACUAGAAGGCUUCCUUUCCCUAGUGGUGUUUUUGAUGCCAUUCACUGUGGCGAGUGCAGCAUUCCAUGGCAUUCUNNAAGCUUCUUCUGGAGAUGAAUCGGAUUUUAAGGCCUGGUGGAUACUGCAUUUUGUCAACUACACAUGACAAUGUUGAAGAGGAAGAAGCCAUGA
rnacentral:misc_RNA from 1 species